rnacentral:rRNA from 1 species
AUUUCAGAUGAAGUUUUCGGAUGGAUUCUGAGAUGACUGAGUGGCGGACGGGUGAGUAACACGUGGAUAACCUGCCUCACACUGGGGGACAACAGUUAGAAAUGACUGCUAAUACCGCAUAAGCGCACAGUACCGCAUGGUACAGUGUGAAAAACUCCGGUGGUGUGAGAUGGAUCCGCGUCUGAUUAGCCAGUUGGCGGGGCAAUGGCCCACCAAAGCGACGAUCAGUAGCCGACCUGAGAGGGUGACCGGCCACAUUGGGACUGAGACACGGCCCAAACUCCUACGGGAGGCAGCAGUGGGGAAUAUUGCACAAUGGGCGAAAGCCUGAUGCAGCGACGCCGCGUGAGUGAAGAAGUAUUUCGGUAUGUAAAGCUCUAUCAGCAGGGAAGAUAAUGACGGUACCUGACUAAGAAGCCCCGGCUAACUACGUGCCAGCAGCCGCGGUAAUACGUAGGGGGCAAGCGUUAUCCGGAUUUACUGGGUGUAAAGGGAGCGUAGACGGCAUGGCAAGUCUGAAGUGAAAACCCAGGGCUCAACCCUGGGACUGCUUUGGAAACUGUCAAGCUAGAGUGCAGGAGAGGUAAGUGGAAUUCCUAGUGUAGCGGUGAAAUGCGUAGAUAUUAGGAGGAACACCAGUGGCGAAGGCG